UAUUGCAUUAGAGCAGGUCCCUAGGGUGCUUCUAUUCUGAAUUCUGAGUUUUCAGCCAACAACUUGGUGGGACUUUUGUUGUUCUGCAAAUUUCCACCACACUUCAGAAGCACAUCGGUUUUUACCAGCUGAGUUUUAACUAGAUGUGAAUUCUGUGAGGCAAACAGUUCUCCUAUCCACUGCUGGAGGCAGCUUUCUCUCCUUGGAUGAUUUAAUAAAUAGGAGGGUUGACCACAGGAAAGUGUCUCAAGCUCUUGUGAAACAGGGCCCUGUUGUGCCCUUCCUUCCUGGGUGACAUAGUUGGAAAUGGUUGCUGUGGAGACAAGCCUCCCCAGAAAUCAGUUUAUGCCUGUUCUACCUUCAUUUCUCACCCAGGUGUGGUGAUUUAAAUAAACUCUUUGGUAGGAUUAGAAGGAUUAGGAAGCCUUGCUGCACUUUCAAAAACCCAAGGCCAGGCUAGUCUCCACACCAACCCCCCUGCCCCCAAUGGAUUAGCAUGUAGAACUCUUAGUACUGUGUCUGCCUGCCUGCCACUAUGCUCCCAACCAAGAUGAUAAUGGACUAACCUCUGAAAUGCAAUAGAACAGUGACUGACCCCUGGCAAGUUUCAGGCUUCAGGAAAAGGCUGAAGAAAGAGUGUUCUGCAGUAGAAAUGGGGACAGAACCUGUUGAUGCUUCGGUCUGGGUAGCUUGAAGACUCCAUUCUGAGUGCAGAAUUCAGCACCUAUGAAGAUUUGAGGGGAAAUGAUG
rnacentral:lncRNA from 1 species